rnacentral:piRNA from 1 species
GCCCAGAAAUGAGAAUCCUGUCCC